AAUAAACCAAUUUUUUAUUUUUUAUCUAUAAUUUUUGACUCUUCGUCUUAUUCAAAUUUUUUUACGAUUGAUAUUUUUAUUAGAUGAUAAAUUAUGAAUAGUAUUUUACGUGUGACUAAUUUUUUUCUAAUUUCCUAAAAGUUUUUUAAAUAAGACAGACGGUCAAACGCUGAGCACAAAAACCAAAGAAUUGAUUUAUU
rnacentral:pre_miRNA from 1 species